UACGGAGGGUGCAAGCGUUAUCCGGAUUCACUGGGUUUAAAGGGUGCGUAGGUGGGCAGGUAAGUCAGCGGUGAAAUCCCCGAGCUUAACUUGGGAACUGCCAUUGAUACUAUCUGUCUUGAAUACCUUGGAGGUGAGCGGAAUAUGUCAUGUAGCGGUGAAAUGCUUAGAUAUGACAUAGAACACCAAUUGCGAAGGCAGCUUACUACAGGAAUAUUGACACUGAUGCACGAAAGCGUGGGGAUCAAACAGG
rnacentral:rRNA from 1 species